rnacentral:tRNA from 1 species
CCAAGGGUGGCAGAAUGGUUUUAUGCGCUGGUCUGUAAAACCAGUUUAAGCAGGUUCGAUUCCUGCCCCUUGGA